UGAUACUCAGAAAUAGUGUCACAAGACAUCACGAGACCUUAUUGGGUGAAUUCUUUAGAUCAUUUGGAGUUCUCACGUCGCGUGAGACCCCGACAAGCUCGGGUAAACACAAAACCCCAUCUUUCUUCUUUUCUUCUCUUCUCUUCUCUCUCUUCGAUCACCCUCCACCACCUAGUGUUGCUUGUUCCCCUCCAUCUUCAAGGACAACAAUGUGAGCAUUGCCCGGUGUCUCUGAGGCUCUUUGGGAAUUUUGACACACUGGAAGCCUGGUUUAAUGUGUUGUGAAUGGAUCACUGCUAUUGCUUUAGAGCUGUUAUGCUUGAAGGCCUGGUUCCCAGGUUUAGUUUGGGCCUAGGAAGGCUCCCUAUAGUGUAAUCAUUACUAUUAUGUAAUUCAUUUAUUCUGGGCUGUAAUAAUCUCUGUAAUAAUAGAUUUGGGGUUAAUUAGUAAAGGCUGGGGGGUUUAUGCUUA